CAAUCUUAAAGAUAGUAAGGGUUGUUGUAGACUACGACGUAGAUAGGUCUGGUGUGUAAGUGUAGUGAUACAUUGAGCUAACAGAUACUAAUUGCCCGAGAGGCUUAGCUAUACAACGCUCAAG
rnacentral:rRNA from 1 species